CGGCGGGUAGGGCCGGGGGUCUCGCCCACCCCCCAAACCCGAGAUGGGCGUAAGGCGGGGGCCAGUAACCGCUCCAGGCUGUAUGCGGCACUAAGGGAUCCUCUCCCCAGCUAUGAAGCCCGCCCUGUGGGGCUUGUGGUGGCGGGGGCCCCCUCGGAGGAGGGGGCUAAACCGCCUUCACGAGGGGAAAAAGGCCAGGCCCGGAAGGGAGCAACCUAACCCUCGGCGCAAGCGUUCACAGGUCACCGGGUGGAGUGCGGGGCGAGGGCUCAUCCCUUAGUACCGCAUAUAGUCUGGGGCGGAGCCGCCG
rnacentral:SRP_RNA from 1 species